GUGGGGAAUCUUCCGCAAUGGACGAAAGUCUGACGGAGCAACGCCGCGUGAGUGAUGAAGGUCUUCGGAUUGUAAAGCUCUGUUAAUCGGGACGAAAGAGCCUAGUGUGAAUAAUGCUAGGAAGUGACGGUACCGGAAUAGAAAGCCACGGCUAACUACGUGCCAGCAGCCGCGGUCAUACGUAGGUGGCAAGCGUUGUCCGGAAUUAUUGGGCGUAAAGCGCGCGCAGGCGGAUCUGCCAGUCUGUCUUAAAAGUUCGGGGCUUAACCCCGUGAUGGGAUGGAAACUACAGAUCUAGAGUAUCGGAGAGGAAAGUGGAAUUCCAAGUGUAGCGGUGAAAUGCGUAGAGAUUUGGAAGAACACCAGUGGCGAAGGCGACUUUCUGGACGAUGUCUGACGCUGAGGCGCGAAAGCUAGGGGAGCGAACGGGAUUAGAAACCCCUGUAGUCC
rnacentral:rRNA from 1 species